GGCUCAGUAACACGUGGACAACCUGCCCUUAGGUUGGGUAUAAACCCGGGAAACUGGGUAUAAUACCCGAUAGAUCUCGGUCGCUGGAAAGCCCCGAGAUCGAAAGCUCCGGCGCCAGAGGAUGGGUCUGCGGCCUAUCAGGUAGUAGUGGGUGUAGCGUACCUACUAGCCUACGACGGGUACGGGUUGUGAGAGCAAGAGCCCGGAGAUGGAUUCUGAGACACGAAUCCAGGCCCUACGGGGUGCAGCAGGCGCGAAAACUUUACAAUGCCGGCAACGGCGAUAAGGGGACCUCGAGUGCCAGGUUACAAAUCUGGCUGUCGUGAUGCCUAAAAAGCAUUGCAUAGCAAGGG
rnacentral:rRNA from 1 species